rnacentral:rRNA from 1 species
GACGAACGCUGGCGGCGUGCUUAACACAUGCAAGUCGAACGGAAAGGCCUUUUCGGCGGUACUCGAGUGGCGAACGGGUGAGUAACACGUGGGUGAUCUGCCCUGCACUCUGGGAUAAGCCUGGGAAACUGGGUCUAAUACCGGAUAGGACCGCACUUUAGUGUGUGUGGUGGAAAGUUUUUUCGGUGUAGGAUGAGCCCGCGGCCUAUCAGCUUGUUGGUGGGGUAAUGGCCUACCAAGGCGGCGACGGGUAGCUGGACUGAGAGGUUGGUCGGCCACAUUGGGACUGAGAUACGGCCCAGACUCCUACGGGAGGCAGCAGUGGGGAAUAUUGCACAAUGGGCGCAAGCCUGAUGCAGCGACGCCGCGUGGGGGAUGACGGCCUUCGGGUUGUAAACUCCUUUCGCCAGGGACGAAGCGUUUUGUGACGGUACCUGGAGAAGAAGCACCGGCUAACUACGUG